AACGAGGCCGACCUGCGGCUGAGUUACCUGCGGAAGGAUCAUUACAGAGUUGCAAAACUCCCUAAACCAUUGUGAACGUUACCUAAACCGUUGCUUCGGCGGGCGGCCCGGGUCCUUCCCGGCGCCCCUCGGCCCUCGCGGGCGCCCGCCGGAGGUAAACCAAACUAUUGCAUUGUAUGGCCUCUCUGAGUCUUCUGUACUGAAUAAGUCAAAACUUUUAGCAAUGGAUCUCAGAUCGGA
rnacentral:misc_RNA from 1 species